CCUACGGGAGGCAGCAGUGAGGAAUAUUGGACAAUGGGCGCAAGCCUGAUCCAGCCAUGCCGCGUGCAGGAAGAAGCAUCUAUGGUGUGUAAACUGCUUUUGUACAGGAAGAAACACUCCCUCGUGAGGGAGCUUGACGGUACUGUAAGAAUAAGGACCGGCUAACUCCGUGCCAGCAGCCGCGGUAAUACGGAGGGUCCGAGCGUUAUCCGGAAUCAUUGGGUUUAAAGGGUCCGUAGGCGGUUUAAUAAGUCAGUGGUGAAAUCUGGUCGCUCAACGAUCAAACGGCCAUUGAUACUGUUAGACUUGAAUUAUAAGGAAGUAACUAGAAUAUGUAGUGUAGCGGUGAAAUGCUUAGAUAUUACAUGGAAUACCAAUUGCGAAGGCAGGUUACUACUUAUGGAUUGACGCUGAUGGACGAAAGCGUGGGGAGCGAACAGGAUUAGAUACCCUGGUAGUCCACGCCGUAAACGAUGGAUACUAGCUGUUCGGAGCAAUCUGAGUGGCUAAGCGAAAGUGAUAAGUAUCCCNCCGCGGGAGGUAACGUUCGUCGAGAAGUAGAACGUUACGAAUUAGAGUUAGUACGGCGUUGAGACGNGCCGACGGACGACGACGAGGGAGGUUAGG
rnacentral:rRNA from 1 species